rnacentral:misc_RNA from 1 species
UGGGAUCAACUGAUGAUCUCAAAUCUGAAAAAACAAACAACAAAAGAAAACGUAAAUUUCAUCUUACAGAAAUGAAAGAAAUUCCUAAAAAGUGAUAGAAACUCUCCAAAAUUAAUAAGCAUCUCGCUGAUUAAACCUCUUACAGAUAUAAUUUUAUCAAUUAUUUCAAAACAACAACAUCAUAUGGCAGAUAUUAGAAUAAAUAACUAGAACAAUUCAAGAGAGGAAAGGCUAAAGAGCAUUACAAUAAAAGGGAACACACACAACUUUAACAAACAGAUAAUUAAAAGAUUAUAUUAAAGAAGAAAUUUCAGUGAACCAAAUUGAUGAUCAUGACACCAAAAAAAAAAAAAAACCUAUGAAU